rnacentral:rRNA from 1 species
AGUGAACGCUGGCGGUAGGCCUAACACAUGCAAGUCGAACGGCAGCACAGUAAGAUCUUGCUCUUACGGGUGGCGAGUGGCGGACGGGUGACGCAUGCAUCGCAAUCUACUUUUUCGUGGGUGAUAACGUAGGGCAACUGACGCUAAUACCGCAUAUGACCUACGGGUGAGAGCAGGAGAUCUUCGCGCCUUUCCCGACUGAAUGAGCCGAUGUCGGAUUAGCUAGUUGGCUGGGUAAAGGCCCACCAAGGCGACGAUCCGUAGCUGGUCUGAGAGGAUGAUCAGCCACACUGGAACUGAGACACGGUCCAGACUCCUACGGGAGGCAGCAGUGGGGAAUAUUGGACAAUGGGCGCAAGCCUGAUCCAGCCAUACCGCGUGGGUGAAGAAGGCCUUCGGGUUGUAAAGCCCUUUUGUUGGGAAAGAAAAGCAGCAGGUUAAUACCCCGCUGUUCUGACGGUACCCAAAGAAUAAGCACCGGCUAACUUCGUG